UCGGAUUGUAGUCUGCAACCCGACUACAUGAAGCUGGAAUCGCUAGUAAUCGCGGAUCAGAAUGCCGCGGUGAAUACGUUCCCGGGUCUUGUACACACCGCCCGUCACACCAUGGGAGGUCGGAAAUGCCCGAAGUCUGUGACCUAACCGUAAGGGAGGAGCAGCCGAAGGCAGGGUCGGAUGACUGGGGUGAAGUCGUAACAAGGUACC
rnacentral:rRNA from 1 species